rnacentral:rRNA from 1 species
GGAGGGUGCAAGCGUUAUCCGGAUUCACUGGGUUUAAAGGGUGCGUAGGUGGGUUGGUAAGUCAGUGGUGAAAUCUCCGAGCUUAACUUGGAAACUGCCAUUGAUACUAUCAGUCUUGAAUACCGUGGAGAUGAGCGGAAUAUGUCAUGUAGCGGUGAAAUGCUUAGAUAUGACAUAGAACACCAAUUGCGAAGGCAGCUCGUUACACGAAUAUUGACACUCAGGCACGAAAGCGUGGGGAUCAAACAGGAUUAGAUACCCUGGUAGUCCACGCCCUAAACGAUGGAUACUCGACAUUUGCGAUACACAGCAAGUGUCUGAGCGAAAGCAUUAAGUAUCCCACCUGGGAAGUACGAUCGCAAGAUUG